ensembl:snRNA
GUAUUAUAUGAGAGGAGAGGUUAACAGCUUCCUUUGAUGAGAAUGGAAGAAGUCCUAAUAAACUUUGUCACACAGAGAUGGUUAAGGUAUUGGCACCUAUUCUGUGCUAUCUAGUUGGUUUUUU